UACAGGUGAAGAUGAAUGGGUAUCGGGUUCUAUAGGCUUUUUGGACAAAAAUGGGAAAGAGCUGGACAUACAGCCAUUUUGUCACCCUUUCUAACUGGAGCCUCAGGUCAACGAAAGCCUCUUGAUCUGUUAUCACUUUCACACAGAAGAAAAAGAUUUUAAUUUGAAAUCGUCUUCCUGGCAGGUGAUCUUCCCAAACUUCUGUGGCCAUAAAUGAAUUGAAUGAAUCAGAUAAGAUAUGAGAAGAACCAAAAAUUUGUCUUAAGAGUUAUCAAACCGAAGAAGGAGGAUUCAUCUGCCUUUUGUUCAUCAGUUGCCUUAACGCUUGAAUAAAAUGCGAAUUUCUCAUGUAAUGAAAUGUAUGAACAUUUCAUAUUAAAAUAUUUUGGUAGAAAAAGAAGAAAUUUAACACUGCAGCAAUAACAAAAUUGUGUACAUUUUACAAUGUAGUUUUGAUGUACCUUAUUGAGAUCUUGUAAAAAUGUUUUAUAUUUAAUAA